rnacentral:SRP_RNA from 1 species
GCCGGGUGUGGUGGCUCACACCUGUAAUCCCAGCAUUUUGGGAGGCUGAGGUGGGAGGAUUGCUUGAGCCCAGGAAUUCCAGACCAGCCUUGGCAAGAUGGCAAGACCCCACUUCUA